ACCCCUCCCUUGAGACAAUCCUGGCUACGCCACUGAGUAUAUGCCAAACACAAUAAAUAUACUUAUACUUCCCUAUUGAAAACAAAUGUAAGUACAUUUUAUUACGAUCCUAUAACUGAGCUGCCUUUAUUGCAUACACCAUGAGAGACCACAUGUACAUAAUCGGUUUUCUUGGAUAAAAUCAUUGUUGUACGUCUUUAUCGGUACAAUCGUUAAUUGUACGUAGGCUAAGCAGUUGUCUAACAAUAAAGUACUUUUUUUUUAAAUAGCGCCCUUUUGUCUAACAACAUCAGAAACAAACAUCUAGCAUGGCGAGACCAUUUGUCUUCCGCCUAGACUUUCUUCGCCACAAUCACAGUAAUCAUUCAUCAUAUUGCCUUGCCAAUUUUAGACACUAAAUACAAUCAUACUAUAUUUCGAUUUUUGAACUUUUCCGAGAUAGUCGGUUUGUGAUCGUGGCCUUCGAUUUACAAGUUAUUUUCGUUGUAUAUUUUACUACCAAUAACCUAACAUCUAAUUAUUAGUACAAGAUAAAGUGUACAGCAUUAUCAGACGCUGGUACAAAAAACAACCUUGAGCUAUAUUCGUGAAAAAAAGAACAUCUGGCUUCGUUUUAUAGUUCGCUACAGAAUAGAAGCCAUUGCAACUAAUAUUUUCCACUCGUCAGCCGUUAAAAAGUAGAGCAAAAAUGACAAAAUAUACCGCUUAUCUUAAAGUACGAAAGUGUCAAGGGAAAUUACGGGCUCUCCUAAGUUUGUUAGCGAAACUAUACUAAGAAGUUUGCUAUAAUCUGUAGUGGUAUUUAGGAAAAACUAUCUUUGCAGCGGAGGUACUUUAAAGAAGGAGGUAAAAUACAAGAGAAGGAAAAUGUGUGGGUUCAAACGUGCUGCCGUUCGGAUGGACAAGACUGUACUUUAAGCGGAGUAUUUUGACCCUCAACCCGGUGAACUCUCGGCUGACCUCUCCUUGUGAACUACAUUUUUGCAACUUUUGCCGAGAAGAAAUUACCUUCGGUACGAGUGAAAGGUCACUACCGCUGCGCCCCCAUCCCCCGUGGCCAGCUGAUACGGCUUGGCGGUGUGGCGAGACCGUUCGCGGGACUGCGAAGCCGCGUCGCUUGAAAAAAAAAGAAAAAAAAAACCCCACUCCAUACUGAACCCGACUUGUUCCAACAGGCUUGGCCUAUUAGCAACUGUGACGCCCAAAGUAAAACUUUUUCUUCACCUGCGUGGCUACUCAUUGGGAUUCCGUGGCCACAGGAAGAGAGAAGAAUUUGCCUGACCAGCCUCUCUCAACAGACCAGCCUCUCUCAACAGACCAGCCUCUCUCAACAGACCAGCCUCUCUCAACAUACCAGCCUCUCUCAACAUAUCAGCCUCUGUCAACAGACCAGCCUCUCA